AUGCAGUCGAGCGGACAGAUGGGAGCUUGCUCCCUGAUGUUAGCGGCGGACGGGUGAGUAACACGUGGGUAACCUGCCUGUAAGACUGGGAUAACUCCGGGAAACCGGGGCUAAUACCGGAUGGUUGUUUGAACCGCAUGGUUCAAACAUAAAAGGUGGCUUCGGCUACCACUUACAGAUGGACCCGCGGCGCAUUAGCUAGUUGGUGAGGUAACGGCUCACCAAGGCAACGAUGCGUAGCCGACCUGAGAGGGUGAUCGGCCACACUGGGACUGAGACACGGCCCAGACUCCUACGGGAGGCAGCAGUAGGGAAUCUUCCGCAAUGGACGAAAGUCUGACGGAGCAACGCCGCGUGAGUGAUGAAGGUUUUCGGAUCGUAAAGCUCUGUUGUUAGGGAAGAACAAGUACCGUUCGAAUAGGGCGGUACCUUGACGGUACCUAACCAGAAAGCCACGGCUAACUACGUGCCAGCAGCCGCGGUAAUACGUAGGUGGCAAGCGUUGUCCGGAAUUAUUGGGCGUAAAGGGCUCGCAGGCGGUUUCUUAAGUCUGAUGUGAAAGCCCCCGGCUCAACCGGGGAGGGUCAUUGGAAACUGGGGAACUUGAGUGCAGAAGAGGAGAGUGGAAUUCCACGUGUAGCGGUGAAAUGCGUAGAGAUGUGGAGGAACACCAGUGGCGAAGGCGACUCUCUGGUCUGUAACUGACGCUGAGGAGCGAAAGCGUGGGGAGCGAACAGGAUUAGAUACCCUGGUAGUCCACGCCGUAAACGAUGAGUGCUAAGUGUUAGGGGGUUUCCGCCCCUUAGUGCUGCAGCUAACGCAUUAAGCACU
rnacentral:rRNA from 1 species